AGGCAUGUUUCAUUAUCUCAUUUUCAAUCUUAAGUGAAAAUUGUGAAAUUUCUUGCAUGCCAGAAUAAGAGUUGAAGGUUAAUUAGCAGCGUGACCAAUUCAGCCGUAGCACUGCUGCCAGUCACCUUCAGACAAGA